rnacentral:rRNA from 1 species
GAUGAACGCUGGCGGCGUGCCUAACACAUGCAAGUCGAACGGAAAGGCCCCUGCUUGCAGGGGUACUCGAGUGGCGAACGGGUGAGUAACACGUGGGUGAUCUGCCCUGCCCUUCGGGAUAUGCCAGGGAAAGUGGGUCUAAUACCGGCUAGGACGAUGGUUUGGAUGCUAUUGUGGAAAGGUUUUCGGUGUGGGAUGGGCUAGCGGCCUAUCAGCUUGUUGGUGGGGUAAUGGCCUACCAGGGCGUCGACGGGUAGCCGGCCUGAGAGGGUGUACGGCCAAGUUGGGACUGAGAUGCGACCCAGCCUCCUACGGGAGGCAGCGGUGGAGAAUAUUAUACAAUGCGCGCGAGCCUAGUGCAGCGACGCCGCGUGGGGGAUGACGGGCAUCGGGUUGUAAACUCCUUUCGCUAGGGACGAAGCGCUAGUGACGGUACCUGGAGAAGAAGCACCGGCUAACUCCGUG